UACGUAGGGACCAAGCGUUGUUCGGAUUUACUGGGCGUAAAGGGCGCGUAGGCGGCCUAGCAAGUCACUUGUGAAAUCUCCGGGCUUAACUCGGAACUGCCAAGUGAAACUGCUGGGCUAGAGUGCAGAAGGGGCAAUCGGAAUUCUUGGUGUAGCGGUGAAAUGCGUAGAUAUCAAGAGGAACACCUGAGGUGAAGACGGGUUGCUGGGCUGACACUGACGCUGAUGCGCGAAAGCGUGGGGAGCGAACAGG
rnacentral:rRNA from 1 species